rnacentral:lncRNA from 1 species
AAACUCGCCCACUGAUCUCAUAAGUGAUGCUUAUAUUGAAAGCUCCUCUGAUAAAGCUGUGGCUAAUCAAUCAUGGUAUGCAAACAUAAAGUUUUUUAGUGAAAAACUUGGUUUAAAUUUAGCACUUUGUAAAAAGCUCAGUAAAAAUAAAUUCAAAAUUUUACUUAGAAAAUGUAUCAAAACUGAUUUUUUAACAUUUUGGAGCCAUCAAAAAGACUUAAUAAAAAAAAGAUGAUCACAGUAAAUUGAGCAACUACUUUAAAUUUAAACAUAAUUUCACUUUUGAAGAUUACUUUAAUAUUAAGAACAGAGAUAAGAGAGUUAUACUAACUAGAUUUAGAAUAAGCAAUCAUUGUCUCCGCAUAGAGAGAGGCCGUUACGAACGAAAAAUUGAUGAACAUGGAAAAAAUAUUACACUGCCAAGAUCAGAGAGAACAUGCCAGUUUUGUUCAAUGAACUCGGUUGAAGACGAAGAACAUUUUUUUAUUUAAAUGUACCCUUUAUAAUAAGGAAAGAAAAACCUUUCUGGAUGAACUCUUUACAAAAUACCCAUAUUUAUCCCAAAUAUCCGAUAGUAAUCUGCUUAUUUGGUUCAUGUCAAACGAUAGCCUUCAUUUUAACUCUAAAUUAUGUGAAUUACUAUCCUCAUUUUACACAUUGAGAAACUAAAUAUUUGCUUAACUGAAACUUAUAAAACUUAUUUAUAGUCUUCACCAGUUCAUUGUCACAUUAUACUUGAAUUGGUUUAUUUUCUUUUCUGGGCAGUAAGAGUUAUCCUUCAUUCCAUAUAUACAAUGUAGGCAACUGACUCUCCUCAUAAAAUUAAAAAAAAAAUACAUUUGUAUCUGUAUUUUUAUUGUAUUUCAUUUUUCAUUUACAUGUUGUACUGUUAAAUCAAUCAUCCUUAAUCAGAACGAGAGUUGUAUGUGUGAGUGUAUGCGAGUGGG